AAUAGAAGAAUGACAAAUCAGAUUUUUCCUCCUGAUUUUUAACCUUUUCCUUCUGAAAAAAUUCAAAUUCAACUAAAAAUACUAAAAAUCAUGAAUAAAAAUCUGAUUUAUCAUUCUCCUAUU
rfam:Gossypium raimondii Chr13_contig_73, whole genome shotgun sequence.